rnacentral:rRNA from 1 species
UACCAGCACCCCGAGUGGUCGGGACGUUUUAUUGGGCCUAAAGCAUCCGUAGCCGGUUCUACAAGUCUUCCGUUAAAUCCACCUGCUUAACAGAUGGGCUGCGGAAGAUACUAUAGAGCUAGGAGGCGGGAGAGGCAAGCGGUACUCGAUGGGUAGGGGUAAAAUCCGUUGAUCCAUUGAAGACCACCAGUGGCGAAGGCGGCUUGCCAGAACGCGCUCGGACGGUGAGGGAUGAAAGCUGGGGGGAGCAAAC